AGCUUGAGAAUGGAUGAAAAGUUCAAAGGUUACAACUUUUACCACUGGAAGGCCAAAAUGGAGCUACUUUUGGCAUCAUUGGAUCUUUGGGAGAUUGUAUGUGAGGAGGAAGAGGCACCUGGGGUAGAGGCAAGCAUCAAGGAGCAUAAGGAGUUCAAAAGACGAGAAAAGAAGGCUUUUGGCAUAAUUGCCACCAAUUUAGAUGAGAGCAACUUUGCUCAUGUCAUUUCUUG
rnacentral:lncRNA from 1 species